UACAGAGGUCCCAAGCGUUGUUCGGAUUCACUGGGCGUAAAGGGUGCGUAGGUGGUCGGGUAAGUCUGAUGUGAAAUCUCCGAGCUUAACUCGGAAACUGCAUCGGAUACUAUCUGGCUUGAGGAUCGGAGGGGAGACUGGAAUUCUCGGUGUAGCGGUGGAAUGCGCAGAUAUCAGGAGGAACACCGGUGGCGAAGGCGGGUCUCUGGGCAGUAACUGACGCUGAGGAGCGAAAGCGUGGGGAGCGAACAGG
rnacentral:rRNA from 1 species